rnacentral:lncRNA from 1 species
GCUUAGACAGGAGCGUAGGGCAGGAGAGGCUUUAGCUGGUAGGUGGGACAGUGUUGAGACACCUAGUCGGGGUGCCGGGUUCCUACGAGAGAGGUUGGACUACUACCGUCGCCUCCUCGAUAACAUGGAUUCCCGUGAUGUUUGUUGGCUUCCUUUUGGGCCUCAUCCCGACAUUGAGGUCCCCGCCACGACUUACCGUGGUCUCCUCCGUUGCGC